rnacentral:rRNA from 1 species
UGGGGAAUUUUGGACAAUGGGCGAAAGCCUGAUCCAGCAAUGCCGCGUGUGUGAAGAAGGCCUUCGGGUUGUAAAGCACUUUUGUCCGGAAAGAAAUCCUUGGCUCUAAUACAGUCGGGGGAUGACGGUACCGGAAGAAUAAGCACCGGCUAACUACGUGCCAGCAGCCGCGGUAAUACGUAGGGUGCAAGCGUUAAUCGGAAUUACUGGGCGUAAAGCGUGCGCAGGCGGUUUGCUAAGACCGAUGUGAAGUCCCCGGGCUCAACCUGGGAACUGCAUUGGUGACUGGCAGGCUAGAGUAUGGCAGAGGGGGGUAGAAUUCCACGUGUAGCAGUGAAAUGCGUAGAGAUGUGGAGGAAUACCGAUGGCGAAGGCAGCCCCCUGGGCCAAUACUGACGCUCAUGCACGAAAGCGUGGGGAGCAAACAGGAUUAGAUACCCUGGUAGUCCACGCCCUAAACGAUGUCAACUAGUUGUUGGGGAUUCAUUUCCUUAGUAACGUAGCUAACGCGUGAAGUUGACCGCCUGGGGAGUACGGUCGCAAGAUUAAAACUC